ACAAGUAAGAAAGGGCGUACGGUGGAUGCCUAGGCUCUUGCAGGCGAUGAAGGACGUGAUAAGCUGCGAUAAGUCACGAGGAGGUGCAAAUAACCUUUGAUUCGUGAAUUUCCGAAUGGGACAACCUGGCUGUCUGAAGGACAGUCACACCACAAAUGUGGUGAGCGAACGCGGGGAACUGAAACAUCUUAGUACCCGUAGGAAGAGAAAAUAAAAAAUGAUUCCCCAAGUAGUGGCGAGCGAACGGGGAAGAGCCCAAACCAACGAUGUUCCGGCAUCGUUGGGGUUGUAGGACUGCAAUGUCGCAAGAAGGAUGGUGAGUGGAAGCGUUUGGAAAAUCGCUCCAAAGAUGGUGAUAGACCAGUACACGAAGCCAUACGAAGCGUAGCAGACUCCUGAGUAGCGCGGGACACGAGAAAUCCUGUGUGAAUCCGGCGGGACCAUCCGCCAAGGCUAAAUACUCGCAAGAGACCGAUAGCGAACCAGUACCGUGAGGGAAAGGUGAAAAGCACUGCGAAUAGCAGAGUGAAAAAGUUCCUGAAACCGUACGCCUACAAGCGGUUGGAGCACCUUAUGGUGUGACAGCGUGCCUUUUGCAUAAUGAACCUACGAGUUGCCGUCGCCGGCAAGGUUAAGAGCAAAGAUGCUCGGAGCCGAAGCGAAAGCGAGUCCUAACGAGGCGCCAAGUCAGCGGCGGCAGACGCGAAACCAAGUGAUCUACCCUUGUCCAGGUUGAAGUCCGGGUAACACCGGAUGGAGGACCGAACCAAUAAGCGUUGAAAAGCUUCUGGAUGAGGUGAGGGUAGGAGUGAAAGGCCAAUCAAACUUGGAGAUAGCUCGUACUCCCCGAAAUGCAUUUAGGUGCAGCCUCGGGUGUUCCCUACGUGAGGUAGAGCGACUGAUCGGAUGCGAGGGCUUCACCGCCUAUCAAGUCCGGACAAACUCCGAAUGCGCGUAGGUCAUAACCCGGGAGUGAGGGCAUGGGUGCUAAGGUCCGUGCCCGAGAGGAGAAGAAUCCAGACCGCCAGCUAAGGCCCCGAAAUAUGGGUUAAGUUAAACUAACGAAGUGCGGUUCCCGUGACAGCUAGGAUGUUGGCUUGGAAGCAGCCAUUCAUUCAAAGAGUGCGUAACAGCUCACUAGUCGAGGGACUGUGCAUGGAUAAUAAUCGGGUAUGAAACCCAUUGCCGAAGCUGCGGGACAUCUUAUGAUGUCGGUAGGGGAGCAUUCCAGUGGCGUUGAAGGUAUGAGGACAACUCAUGCUGGAGUAUCUGGAAAAGCAAAUGUAGGUAUAAGUAACGAUAAAGAGUGUGAGAUGCACUCUCGCCGUAAGACUAAGGUUUCCCGGGCAACGUUAAUCGGCCCGGGGUGAGUCGGGACCUAAGGAUAAGCCGAAAGGCGAGGCCGAUGGCAGAAAGGGUUAAUAUUCCCUUACUACCUUUAUGGGCGACGCGGAGACGGAGAAGUGAAACUCUCGCGUGCAGACGGAAUAGCACGUUAAAGAGUGUAGACGUAGAUUAGGGUAGGCAAAUCCGCCCUAAGAGUCGAACUUGAUAGUACACAAAGCCCUCGGGCAGCGUGAUAGCAGAGGUAAGCAGGCUCCCAAGAAAAUCCGCUAAGCAUUAACCAUAGAGGUACCCGUACCGCAAACGGACACACGUAGUCGAGUAGAAUAUACUAAGGCGCUUGGAAGAUUCACGGUUAAGGAACUAGGCAAAUUGACCCCGUAACUUCGGAAUAAGGGGUCCUCACGCGAGUGAGGCGCAGAGAAUAGGUCCAGGCAACUGUUUAACAAAAACACAGGGCUGUGCGAAAUCGAAAGAUGAGGUAUACAGUCUGACACCUGCCCGGUGCCGGAAGGUUAAGAGGAGAUGUCAUCGCAAGAGAAGCAUUGAAUUGAAGCCCCGGUAAACGGCGGCCGUAACUAUAACGGUCCUAAGGUAGCGAAAUUCCUUGUCGGGUAAGUUCCGACCUGCACGAAUGGUGUAAUGAUCCGGACGCUGUCUCAACCAUGAGCUCAGUGAAAUUGUAGUAUCGGUGAAGAUGCCGAUUACCCGCGAUGGGACGAAAAGACCCCGUGAACCUUUACUGCAGCUUAACGUUGUGACCGGGCAGCGGAUGUGUAGGAUAGGCCGGAGGCUAUGAAGCGGGUACGCCAGUAUUCGUGGAGCCGCCGUUGAAAUACGGCCCUUCCUCUGUCUGGUUCCUAACUCGAGUUAUCGAGGACACCGUUUGGCGGGCAGUUUGACUGGGGUGGUCGCCUCCAAAAGCGUAACGGAGGCUUCUAAAGGUGCCCUCAGGCCGAUUGGUAACCGGCCGUAGAGUGUAAUGGCAAAAGGGCGCUUGACUGGGAGGCCGACAAGCCGAUCAGGUGGGAAACCAGAGCAUAGUGAUCCGGUGGUUCCGUAUGGAAGGGCCAUCGCUCAAAGGAUAAAAGGUACUCCGGGGAUAACAGGCUGAUCCCUCCCAAGAGCUCAUAUCGACGGAGUGGUUUGGCACCUCGAUGUCGGCUCGUCACAUCCUGGGGCUGGAGAAGGUCCCAAGGGUUGGGCUGUUCGCCCAUUAAAGUGGCACGCGAGCUGGGUUCAGAACGUCGUGAGACAGUUCGGUCUCUAUCUAUCGUGGGCGUUGGAAAUUUGCGUGGCUCUGACACUAGUACGAGAGGACCGUGUUGGACUGACCUCUGGUUUACCGGUUGUGCCGCCAGGCGCACCGCCGGGUAUCCAUGUCGGGAUCGGAUAAGCGCUGAAAGCAUCUAAGUGCGAAGCCGGCCACAAGAUUAGAUUUCCUUAUGAGGGUCGUCAAAGACGAUGACGUUGAUAGGAGGUAGGUGUAAAGACAGUGAUGUCAAAGCCGAGCCUUACUAAUUGCCCGAAACUUGCAGUC
rnacentral:rRNA from 1 species